CGCGCGCAUGGAACGCAGAGAGAGAGAGAGAGAGCGACAAUAAAAAAAAAAAAGAAACGGGCAAAGGCGCUCAGAUUUCUCGGAGCACGUACGCCGUCGCCGGCCGCAGCGCCUGCGCAUGCGCAGCGGCAGCAACGGCGGCGCGCCAUCUCUCCGCGUCGAUUUGAAUUCUCAACGGCUGCGCCAGGCAAGUCAACGCUUGUUGCUGCUGGUGAGCUGCCUGCACCUUGGUGUCUGUGUAUUCGUCUCGACUUUGUGGCAUCACACGUCAACUACACUGAACGCGGGUGUCAUAGACUGCCAGGGAAUUUUCAUGAAAACAGCCAGGGAAAGCUUGGAAAAACAUCAGGGAAAUUGAAAAUGACAACAUAGCAUGCACCUGCAGCACCUUCGGAACGGCUCACACGAAGGUCAAGGCCAGCCAGGCAACCGUGCUUGCCAAGGGGAAGCAGCUUUAAAUACGUAAAUAUUCUCUUUUGAUGAUAGCAUAAGACAUGCAUUUUAAUAAAUUAAUGUAUUAUAUCGUUCAAUAAAAACAUUUAAUUCAAUAUCGGUGCACUUGUUUUCUUUUUUGCACUACAUGAGUCUGCACUUGUGGAAUUGCUUGAAAUAUUUCUUUCUGCUACAUAUGAGAGUACAGCUGGUUCAGGAUCAUUAUUAAUCUAUUAACAUGAAUGCAUAAAUGCAGAUGGGAAGCAACAGGUGCACAUGCAUAAUAUACGUUCAAAAUUUUGUUGCCGCCAUAUGUAAACAAAAAUUUUAACUACCUUGUAGAUAGAUUUCAUUCAAGCGAAUGCAUUGCAUGCGACUAAACUUUCUUCAAUGUGCAAUUACACAAAUGCUCAUGCAGCUUUACAUAAUGAUUCACGGCUGCAUACAUUUUAGAUUUUUGACUGCUUCCAUCUGCAUGCAUGCUUUUCUAUGUACAGUUCCCUAUGUAUGUUCCCAUAUGCAUACUGGAUACAAUAAAUUUUUAUAGACAUUUCCAAUAAUCUGCUUAUUAGCAAACCCCAGCAGCGAGUGUUUAUGGAAUAACAUUGCCUGCCGAAACAUAGUUAGAAAAAUGUGGUGUAUUAUCUAGUAUCUAUGGUGUCCCAGUAAUUUUAGCCAAGCUGGUCAAUGAAAAUGAAAGGUUAAAAACAACUCGGUGCAAG